UACGGAGGGUGCAAACGUUGCUCGGAAUCAUUGGGCGUAAAGCGCACGUAGGUGGUUUGUUAAGUCGGGCGUGAAAGCCCUGGGCUCAACCCAGGAAGUGCACUCGAAACUGGCAGACUUGAGUACUGAAGAGGGUCGCGGAAUUCCCGGUGUAGAGGUGAAAUUCGUAGAUAUCGGGAGGAACACCAGUGGCGAAGGCGGCGACCUGGGCAGAUACUGACACUGAGGUGCGAAAGCGUGGGGAGCAAACAGG
rnacentral:rRNA from 1 species